GUUCAUCUUUGUAUGCUGUAGGACUGAUCGUGCAUGAGCUGCUUUAGACAGAGGGAGGUCCUGCACCAUCAGCGGAUCUUCCUUAGAAAUCAAUGGGACUGUAUGCUUUAGGAGGAUGUAAACGACCGUUGGAUUCCAGCUGGCCUACAUCACACAGCCACAAGAUCAACAGACCGGGCUCAGACGCUGACAUCGGGAGCUAGUUUCACCCUGUGCCGUUUACACUCACCAUCACCAUGACCAAGUGGCAACAUUACGACUUGUGGGGGUCAGGACCGUUACCUGUUACAGCGAGGGGGCAUGUGCAUGUGUGUUUGGGUUACUGGCCUUCAGGAUGUGAAGGCCCACUGUAUUACCCCGUUUCCUCUUCCUCUCUUCUCCCUUAUGGCUCACAACAGGUAUAUAGUCCAUGGGAAAAGGAAGAGAGUGAGACGAAAGGGCGCCUAGUUCCCAUAAGAGCAGUUCCCAUUCACAAGAAUACAUAACCAGCUUAACCAGCUCAGAAUGAAGGAAGUUCUGUGCUGACAUUGUGGAAAAAGCUGUAGUAAGAGCCAGAUUGCUGGAGAAGGGAGAUUGGUGACCAGAGGAAGUAAUAAUAGCGUGUGUCCUGACUGAUAGUGUGCUGGACCUUCUUGUAGUUUCAGCAGUGACGCUGUUAAGUCUUAUGACGGCUUCGUUGCCUGCCCUAAGGAAUUUUUCCUGUCAAAGAAGUAUUUUUGACCCAAGAAUGCUUUGUUGUUCACUCUGAACCGCUUGUUAAGCAAACAUUCUUAUCUUAGAUCUUGAUAAGAGGGCAAGACCGCCACCAACUUCCCUCUUCUGACAUCACAGUAUGUGUGGCCUAAUGUCCAGCAAGGUCACACUCCAGUGAUAGAAUAUAUAAUAAUAUAUAUACAUACACUACCAGUCAAAAGUUUUUGAACAGUGAGAUUUUUAAUGUCUUUUAAAGAAGUCUCUUCUGCGCAUCAAGCCUGCAUUAAUUUGAUACAAAGUACAGCACAAUUAUGUACAACAGUACAAUUUUGAUAUAUUUUUAAUAUUUAAAAUGACUCUUUUCUAUUUGAAUAUAUUUAAAAUGUACUUUAUUCCUGUGAUUUCAAAGCUGAUUUUUUAGCAUCAU